AGAGUUUGAUCCUGGCUCAGAUUGAACGCUGGCGGCAUGCUUUACACAUGCAAGUCGAACGGCAGCGCGGGGCAGCCUGGCGGCGAGUGGCGAACGGGUGAGUAAUAUAUCGGAACGUACCCAGAAGUGGGGGAUAACGUAGCGAAAGUUACGCUAAUACCGCAUACGAUCUACGGAUGAAAGUGGGGGACCUUCGGGCCUCAUGCUUGUGGAGCGGCCGAUAUCUGAUUAGCUAGUAGGUAGGGUAAAGGCCUACCUAGGCGACGAUCAGUAGCUGGUCUGAGAGGACGACCAGCCACACUGGGACUGAGACACGGCCCAGACUCCUACGGGAGGCAGCAGUGGGGAAUUUUGGACAAUGGGCGCAAGCCUGAUCCAGCAAUGCCGCGUGAGUAAAGAAGGCCUUCGGGUUGUAAAGCUCUUUUGUCAGGGAAGAAACGGCUGAGGAUAAUACCUUUGGCUAAUGACGGUACCUGAAGAAUAAGCACCGGCUAACUACGUGCCAGCAGCCGCGGUAAUACGUAGGGUGCAAGCGUUAAUCGGAAUUACUGGGCGUAAAGCGUGCGCAGGCGGUUUUGUAAGUCUGACGUGAAAUCCCCGGGCUUAACCUGGGAAUUGCGUUGGAGACUGCAAGGCUAGAGUCUGGCAGAGGGGGGUAGAAUUCCACGUGUAGCAGUGAAAUGCGUAGAGAUGUGGAGGAACACCGAUGGCGAAGGCAGCCCCCUGGGUCAAGACUGACGCUCAUGCACGAAAGCGUGGGGAGCAAACAGGAUUAGAUACCCUGGUAGUCCACGCCCUAAACGAUGUCUACUAGUUGUCGGGCUUUAAUUAACUUGGUAACGCAGCUAACGCGUGAAGUAGACCGCCUGGGGAGUACGGUCGCAAGAUUAAAACUCAAAGGAAUUGACGGGGACCCGCACAAGCGGUGGAUGAUGUGGAUUAAUUCGAUGCAACGCGAAAAACCUUACCUACCCUUGACAUGUCAGGAAGUCCGGAGAGAUCUGGAUGUGCCCGAAAGGGAGCCUGAACACAGGUGCUGCAUGGCUGUCGUCAGCUCGUGUCGUGAGAUGUUGGGUUAAGUCCCGCAACGAGCGCAACCCUUGUCAUUAGUUGCUACGAAAGGGCACUCUAUGAGACUGCCGGUGACAAACCGGAGGAAGGUGGGGAUGACGUCAAGUCCUCAUGGCCCUUAUGGGUAGGGCUUCACACGUCAUACAAUGGUACAUACAGAGGGCCGCCAACCCGCGAGGGGGAGCUAAUCCCAGAAAGUGUAUCGUAGUCCGGAUCGCAGUCUGCAACUCGACUGCGUGAAGUUGGAAUCGCUAGUAAUCGCGGAUCAGCAUGUCGCGGUGAAUACGUUCCCGGGUCUUGUACACACCGCCCGUCACACCAUGGGAGCGGGUUUUACCAGAAGUAGGUAGCUUAACCGCAAGGAGGGCGCUUACCACGGUAGGAUUCGUGACUGGGGUGAAGUCGUAACAAGGUAACC
rnacentral:rRNA from 1 species